rnacentral:snoRNA from 1 species
AAUGGAUCUAUGAUGUUAUUGAUAUAUCUGUGUUGUAUAUAUGCAGCUUCCUAAAAGGAAUUGAAGAAGACGAUAACAUACUAAAAUCUAAU